CCUACGGGAGGCAGCAGUGGGGAAUAUUGCACAAUGGGGGGAACCCUGAUGCAGCGACGCCGCGUGAGUGAAGAAGUAUUUCGGUAUGUAAAGCUCUAUCAGCAGGGAAGAUAAUGACGGUACCUGACUAAGAAGCCCCGGCUAACUACGUGCCAGCAGCCGCGGUAAUACGUAGGGGGCAAGCGUUAUCCGGAUUUACUGGGUGUAAAGGGUGCGUAGGUGGCAGGGCAAGUCAGAUGUGAAAGCCCGGGGCCCAACCCCGGUACUGCAUUUGAAACUGUCCGGCUGGAGGGCAGGAGAGGUAAGCGGAAUUCCUAGGGUAGCGGUGAAAGGCGUAGAUAUUAGGAGGAACACCAGUGGCGAAGGCGGCUUACUGGACUGUAACUGACACUGAGGCACGAAAGCGUGGGGAGCAAACAGGAUUAGAUACCCGAGUAGUC
rnacentral:rRNA from 1 species